GACGAACGCUGGCGGCGUGCUUAACACAUGCAAGUCGAACGGAAAGGCCCUGCUUUUGUGGGGUGCUCGAGUGGCGAACGGGUGAGUAACACGUGAGUAACCUGCCCUUGACUUUGGGAUAACUUCAGGAAACUGGGGCUAAUACCGGAUAGGAGCUCCUGCUGCAUGGUGGGGGUUGGAAAGUUUCGGCGGUUGGGGAUGGACUCGCGGCUUAUCAGCUUGUUGGUGGGGUAGUGGCUUACCAAGGCUUUGACGGGUAGCCGGCCUGAGAGGGUGACCGGCCACAUGGGGACUGAGAUACGGCCCAGACUCCCCCGGGGGGGAGGGGUGGGGAAUAUUGCCAAAGGGGCGGAGGCCUGAUGCAGCAACGCCGCGUGGGGGAUGACGGCCUUCGGGUUGUAAACCGCUUUCGCCUGUGACGAAGCGUGAGUGGCGGUAAUGGGUAAAGAAGCACCGGCUAACUACGU
rnacentral:rRNA from 1 species